AACCGUAAACGCAAAUGCUCACUAGGAAGAGUGCCUGUGCAUUCGGCUAGUCAUUUCUGUAAAAGACAAGACGUGGGUGCAACAGUCAAUACGUCCAUCUAAAAAAGAAAUAGGAAGUGCGGGAAUGCAGAAAACACAUAAGCAGGUUCCUUCUGACGAUGCAAAUAUGAUCAGUAUCAAAGAUGCUCACCAGAAUGACCAGCCAUAGUCCCAUGUGUGAGGCCUCCAGUCUUCAGGUCCCAAGCUGACUGUAAUCUGGAACACUUGUGUGUACAUCAUGUGGGCCACCAUUCCCAGAAGACCUGUUGAGUAAUCCACAUGUCCACUGGAAUUAAAGAGGAGCAUUAAGGCCCCAAAUGAAAAGGGCUAUUGGGUAUUCAGCAAAUCAAAUAAUCAAAAAUUCAAAAAGCAGCAGCUGUUCUGGCUUUAUAAAUGUGAGGGUUUACCCACAAUGCAUCUGAUAUUAAGUAAAACGUUUAAUUCUGUGAAAUAUUGUUUUAUAAAUCUUAUGUUUUUUUUUUUAAAUAAAAUGUAAUGGAAAAGCUG
ensembl:antisense si:dkey-20j1.2